UCGGGCUGUUUCUUUGGUUUGCGAUCAGCGUCUGGCUCCGCUGAAAGGGCUGUGGUAUAAUUUAGAAACAGGAAAAAAGCCGUGUCUGAUCUGCAACCGAUCGUUGGUCCUGUGCGAUGCGGCCCGUGAACCCCGUCAGGUCCGGAAGGAAGCAGCGGUAAGCGGCCAACCGCAUGCGCCGCAGGGAAACCUGCGUCGGUUGCAGGUCCGGCAUGGCUUCUUGCACGU
rnacentral:SRP_RNA from 1 species